rnacentral:piRNA from 1 species
UUUCUUACUUUUUAUACUGAUAAUGGCCUU